UACGUAGGGUCCGAGCGUUAAUCGGAAUUACUGGGCGUAAAGCGUGCGCAGGCGGUUUUGUAAGCCAGAUGUGAAAGCCCCGGGCUUAACCUGGGAAUUGCGAUGGAGACUGCAAGGCUUGAAUCUGGCAGAGGGGGGUAGAAUUCCACGUGUAGCAGUGAAAUGCGUAGAGAUGUGGAGGAACACCGAUGGCGAAGGCAGCCCCCUGGGUCAAGAUUGACGCUCAUGCACGAAAGCGUGGGGAGCAAACAGG
rnacentral:rRNA from 1 species